CAAACCAACUAACGUGCCUUUUGCGAGAAUUCCGCAAAAUGCUCGCGAGCGAGCUUGUGUACGAGCGAUAUGCUUUUGUGUCGUAAAACGCUCGCAAACGAGCUUGCGAGCGGGAGUUUAAUAAUAGGAAAGAGCGCUGCGACUGUGCUGCCGGUCGAAAGCCAAAAAAAAAGCAAGCUUUCGUGUGCCUUCGGUCCGGCAAUUCUCCUUCGAGUUUGUGUUCACGUCUCGACAGAUGACGUGUCGAAAGAUCAGUGGCAUUAGAAACAAGUGCAAAAAAAGCGUGCGUUCCUUGCGCCGUCAUUUUAAUUAUUUUCGUCGAACUGUGCAGUGCUAAGUUAAAAAUCUCUACCAUCUCUUACACAUUUAAAAGAAAUUUCUGCCAAUCGCAUAUCGGAGAGGCUCGACACGUGCAAAGAGCUACUGGAGAUUUUAAAUUGAAUCAUAGGCAAAAUAUUUCGGAACUCGAACUCCAACAAAAUGAAUUACUUUGCGAAAGUAAUGCAUUCCAGUUUACUGAACAUGCGUGGGACAGACUCCAAAAAGUGUGUAAGAGGACUUCGAACCACUUUAGCACUACGAAAUGCAUUUAAACAGAAGAUUGCGAUCGACAAUCAGGAUUUCGACCAUACAACUCAAAAAUAUUUCCAGUAUGGUCAGGAACGGAAGGCCAGAUUGGAAAAAAGUGAUGCAAAAAAACUUAAAUUUUAGUACAUAGUUCAUACAUAUUACAUACAUACAUUAAAUUCACUUCAUAUUACAAAUUAAAAAUAUUUUUU